UACGUAGGGGGCAAGCGUUGUCCGGAAUUAUUGGGCGUAAAGCGCGCGCAGGCGGUCAUGUAAGUCUGAUGUAUAAGCCCGAGGCUCAACUUCGGGAGGCAUUGGAAACUGGAUGACUUGAGUACAGGAGAGGAAAGUGGAAUUCCACGUGUAGCGGUGAAAUGCGUAGAUAUGUGGAGGAACACCAGUGGCGAAGGCGACUUUCUGGCCUGAAACUGACGCUGAGGCGCGAAAGCGUGGGGAGCAAACAGGAUUAGAUACCCUGGUAGUCCACGCUGUAAACGAUGAAUGCUAGGUGUUAGGGGCUUCCAAGCCCUUGGUGCCGAAGUUAACACAGUAAGCAUUCCGCCUGGGGAGUACGCUCGCAAGAGUG
rnacentral:rRNA from 1 species